GACGAACGCUGGCAGCGUGCCUAAUACAUGCAAGUCGAGCGAAGUUUUUCUGGUGCUUGCACUAGAAAAACUUAGCGGCGAACGGGUGAGUAACACGUAAAGAACCUGCCUCAUAGACUGGGACAACUAUUGGAAACGAUAGCUAAUACCGGAUAACAGCAUUAACUGCAUGGUUGAUGUUUAAAAGUUGGUUUUGCUAACACUAUGAGAUGGCUUUGCGGUGCAUUAGCUAGUUGGUGGGGUAAAGGCCUACCAAGGCGACGAUGCAUAGCCGACCUGAGAGGGUGAUCGGCCACACUGGGACUGAGACACGGCCCAGACUCCUACGGGAGGCAGCAGUAGGGAAUCUUCCGCAAUGGGCGAAAGCCUGACGGAGCAACGCCGCGUGAGUGAAGAAGGAUUUCGGUUCGUAAAGCUCUGUUGUUAGGGAAGAAUGAUUGUGUAGUAACUAUACACAGUAGAGACGGUACCUAACCAGAAAGCCACGGCUAACUACGUG
rnacentral:rRNA from 1 species